rnacentral:rRNA from 1 species
UACGUAGGGUCCGAGCGUUGUCCGGAAUUACUGGGCGUAAAGAGCUCGUAGGUGGUUUGUCGCGUUGUUCGUGAAAACUCACAGCUUAACUGUGGGCGUGCGGGCGAUACGGGCAGACUGGAGUACUGCAGGGGAGACUGGAAUUCCUGGUGUAGCGGUGGAAUGCGCAGAUAUCGUAAGGAAGACCAGUGGCGAAGGCGGGUCUCUGGACAGUUCCUGACGCUGAGACGCGAAAGCGUGGGGAGCGAACAGG